AGACAUUUGACUAAUAAAAGCAUCUAUGUUAAUUUUGUCAUCAGAGAUCAUGAAUAUAAUAGGUAUUCCUAAGUUUUGUUAAAUAAACUAGUAUUAAUAUUUAAUCAUGUUGUGUAGUACACGUAAGUGAUCUAUUUAAAUUGUAUUAGUAUUGGCCUGCUAAAUCAAAGUCUAUGUCAAAUUGUCAAAAAUAUCUCGAUAUCAUUAAAAAAAAAUUUUAUCUUGUAGGGUGGGUAGAAAAAAUCAUUUUUGUUAAUUUAUAAUAUUUGAUAUAUAAUUAUAAUAUAUAAAUAUUUGAUAAUAAUUAAUUAAUAAUAAUAGUUGUACAUUCAUUUUUACAUUUUUAUGUUAACUAGUUGAAUACAAAUUGCAAUUUUCUAUAAUCUAGGCUGCGGGGGGGAUAAUCAUAUUUGUGGUAGUUUAUAAUUAAGCUAUUUGUUUUUAACAAGUAAUGAUUUGUAUGCUAGGUAGUUUUAUUUUGCAGAUUUUAAAAUACACUACCAUGACGAAAGUCAAACAUUCACAUAUUUAUUCAACAAUAAUUGUAUUACCUAUCCUAUUCAACUACCUAUUAUAAUAAUUGAUAAUAUUAGAUUAAGGUUAAAAUAAUACAAAAAAUGUAUGCGCAGUUAGUAUAGUAGGUAACGGCCAUUUCUCAGAACCAAAAUGUGAUAUUACACAUAAUAUUGUUGUUUUCCUAAUUAUUAUUUGAUAUCCUAUCC